GACGAACGCUGGCGGCGUGCCUAAUACAUGCAAGUCGAGCGAACGGACGAGAACUUUGUUUUCUUGAUGUUUGCCGCGCGCGUGAGUGUAACAUGUGUAACAUCCACCUACACGUCUGGUAUAAAUUCGGGAAACUGGCGAUUAUCCCGGAUAAUAUUUUGAUGCGUAUGGUUCAAAAGUGAAAGACGGUCUUGUUGCUACUAAUAGAUGCUUCCUCGCUUAAUCAGCUUGUUGGUAGGGUAACGGCUUACCAAGGCAAUGAUGCAUAGCCGACCUGGGGGGGUAUUCGGCCACCCUGGAACUGAGACCGGGUCCAAACUCCUACGGGGGGCACAAGAAGGGAAUCUUCGGCAAGGGGGGAAAGCCUGACGGAGCAAGGCGGCGUGAGUAAGGAAGGUUUCCGGAUCGUAAGACUCUGUUAAUGGGGAGGAACAGUUGUGUAAUUAACUGUGCACAUCGUGACGGUACCUAAUCAGAAAGCCACGGCUAACUACGUG
rnacentral:rRNA from 1 species